AGCGGUGUGGCGCAGGGGAAGCGCGCCGGGCUCAUAACCCGGAGGACAUCGGAUCGAAGUCAGUAUACCUCCA
rfam:Exophiala dermatitidis NIH/TT8656 unplaced genomic scaffold supercont1.3, whole genome shotgun sequence.